GUUCUCUCCAUCUUCCUGAAGACUUCUCACGGGAAUUGGGAGGAGUCGGUGCAACAACCAGGAAAUGGCUGGGAUCUGGACCGGGGAAACCGAGAUCCAGGAAAUGUGCCUUCGUUUCCCUUCAAGCGUUACUACGAUGGACUUUCCUACGACGGGUUUGUGGGUUUGAUGGGAAGGAGAAUGGCCGGUACAAAGGCUUCAGCUCAGAAACGGAAUAUGCACGAUUUCUUUGUUGGCCUCAUGGGAAGACGGAACGUGGAAUACGGUGAAUCAACUCCUCCGGGCAGAGCGGCCUCAGCGAUGGGAGUCACUGGCAGACCACGGUCACUGAGAUCUGUUUAACCCACUCGUGCCGAGGCUGUUCGAAGAAAGUGAAGAUUCAAUUCAUCUCUCAAAGUGCGCCCUCCCCCCCCCCCCACCACCCCCAAUAAACCGGUGUUUGUUUUAUACGACUGAACCCGACAUUUACUGGUGAUUGUGCGACUGUGUUUAGGAGACGGCAGU